rnacentral:rRNA from 1 species
UACGUAGGGGGCAAGCGUUAUCCGGAUUCACUGGGUGUAAAGGGAGCGUAGAGGGCGACGCAAGUCUGGAGUGAAAGCCCGGGGCCCAACCCCGGGACUGCUCUGGAAACUGCGGCGCUGGAGUACGGGAGGGGCAGGCGGAAUUCCUGGUGUAGCGGUGAAAUGCGUAGAUAUCAGGAGGAACACCGGCGGCGAAGGCGGCCUGCUGGACCGUGACUGACGUUGAGGCUCGAGAGCGUGGGGAGCAAACAGG